CAGGGAAGGCACAGCUUCAGCAUCAGAAAAAAACUGGAAAGUCACUGUGAUUUUGGAAAGGAUAAGAUUGUAAUAAGGGCCUCUCUCCACUGCCCCAGGCCCCUGGACCAGAGGGCACCCCGUGGCCAAGACAUCUCCUGGGAGCCACUGUCCAAAGAGAUGCUGCCUCCACUUCUAUCACUCCAGACCCCGGUCUGGUAGCUAUUCAGAUGCUUCAUGAUGAACCCAGGACUUUCUAUAUUGUUCAGACAAAUAGUGUCCUAAAGCAGAGGUCC
rnacentral:lncRNA from 1 species